CUCCAGUACUGCGUACAAUACUCCAAGUGAGGUCUCACCAGUGUUCUGUACAAGGUAUGAGCACUUCCCUCUUUCUACUGCUAAUACCUCUCCCUAUACAACCAAGCAUUCUGCUAGCAUUUCCUGCUGCUCUAUUACAUUGUCUGCCUACCUUUAAGUCAUCUGAAAUAAUUACCCCUAAAUCCCUUUCCUCAGAUGUUGAGGUUAGUAUUGUAUGUGACACUCUUCUUACCUUUAAAAGAUGUAAAAAACAGAUAAAAUUUGUAUCUUAUAAUAUAUUUUUUAUUAGACUAACAUAAUUUUUUAAUGACAAGCUUUCGGGAGAACCUCCCUUUCUUAAGCCUUAAGCCCUUCUGAACGAGACGACACAUAGAAGUUGAGUUGUGAUACAGGGGUUAAAGUGACAGGAGUGCAGAUAAGACACACACACAUAUAUAUAUAUUGCUAUUCAAGAUUUAGCAAUUACCAUCACUAUUCAUUCUAUCCAAUCCUAGCACAGUCAUGUCACAAAUUGCUCUGGAGAAGGAGAAAAUUAAGCAAUAUUUCUAUGCUCUCUCUGUCCUUACUGAUGACUUGCAAAAAGGCUGUUUUUGUCAGCCGCAACGUUGUCAUGAUGUGCAGGUUCCCAUUGAAGUGUGCAUUGUCAAACAACCUGUGUGCCUGAACUCUUAAAAUUAUUAAAAUGUUCAUGGAGACUUGCCAUCUCUAUAUAUGCAGCAGCAGUGCACUACUAUUUUUUAUCAGUUUUAUCGCUUUUUUAAAAUCACUUUUUGUUUGAUAGCUGAGAGGGCUACAGUCCCUGUUUGAUAUUGGCAUAUAUCUUUCUGUGCUUACUAGCAGAUGCAAAAAUCAGAGCUCGAACCAAGGACUGACAGGGGACCAAGAUGGAAGUCAGGGCCGGCGCUUCCUAUAAGGCGAACUAGGCAGCCGCCUAGGGCGCCAUAUAGGAGGGGGCGCCAUGCGCCCCCAUCGCCGGCCCUUUAAAUUCUGCAGCCGCCUGAGUGCUCUAUAGAGAGCGCUCAGGCGGCUGCCACAGUGCCUCACUGCUCUGCCCUGCCGUAGCGUGGCCGAGCUCCUUUCCGGUCCGCGACCCGGCCGGAAUGACAGUGUGCACUUCCUGUCAGUCCCGCUGGGUCGCGGACCGGAAAGGAGCUCGGCCACGCUACAGGGCAGGGGAGGUGAGGUGAGGAGAUGCUGAUGGGAGGGGGAGNNNNNNNNNNNNNNNNNNNNNNNNNNNNNNNNNNNNNNNNNNNNNNNNNNNNNNNNNNNNNNNNNNNNNNNNNNNNNNNNNNNNNNNNNNNNNNNNNNNNAGAAGAUGACAGGGGGGAGAAGAAGAGGAGAACACGGGGGGGGAAUAAGAGGAAAACACGGGGGAGAAGAAGAGGAGAACACGAGGGGUGGGAGAUGAGAACGUAGGGGAGGGAGAGACCACUAAAGGAGGGAGGGGGCGGUGGAGAGACCACUAGGGAAGGGGUGUGAGGAGAGACCGCUAAGGGAGGGGGGUGGAGGAUAGACCACUAGGGGAGGGUGGAGGGAGAGGAGAGACCACUAAUGGAAAGUCGGGGAGAAAAGGAGACCACUAAGGGAGGUGGGAGGGAGAGGAGAGACCACUAAGGGGUAGGGGAGAUCUCUAAGGAAUGGAAGGGAGAGCUCUAUAGGACAGGGGGACAGGGAGCUCUUUCACACCACGCGCGCGCGCACACACACACACACAAUGCAUCCCUAUACACACAGAAACACAACAUGCUUCCCUUACACACAGAGAAACACACAAUGCAACCCUUACACAUAAAGACAAUGCAUCCUUUGCACAUAUACACAGAAACACACAAUGCAUCCCUUACACACACAUGCAAACACACACUGCUUCUCUUACACACACACAGAAACACAAUGCAUCUCUUACACACACUCAACGCACCCCUUACAGACACACACACUGCAUCCCUUACAUACACAGAAACACACUUUGCAUCCCUUAGGCAUACAAACACAGAUUCACACAAUGCAUCCCUUACACACAACAAGAAACACACAAUACAUCCCUUAUAUACACACACACACACACUGCUUCCACUACACACAAACACACUGCAUCACCUACACAAACUGGUAUCCCUAUACACUACAUUCCGUAAGCACACACAUUAGAUCCUCUACAGUAACACAUAACACAUCCCCUACACACUCUACUCCCUGUGAGUUCAUGGGUGGAACAUGUAGGUGGACUUAUGGGUGGGCUUUAUGGGCAUACUCACCGUCAGGCCCUGGGGCCCAGACCUUGAGCUAUGUAAGAGGCCCCAAAAAAUGGAGCUGCUUCCCGUUCUCCCAGAACAUUGAAUUUUGUGACCACAGUUACAAACAGCCUCCAGAGAUCCUGUUCUACACCAGACCAGUGGAGCCAGACUGCAGCCAGAGCCCAUCACCAUCCUCAUCUGAUUGUAAGUAGGCAAUCUAGUAUAUUAUUAGUGACACUAAUCUCUAAUUUACCUCACAUUAAAUGGACACUAUAGUCCCCAGAACCACUGCAGCUUAAUAAAGUUGUUCUGGUGUCUAUAGUUUGUCCCUGCAGGCUUUUUAAUGUAAACACACACUGUGUGCAGCACUGGCAUUAGUUCUUAUGGGUGGGGUAUUGCAAUGUUCCGGGGGGGGCGGCAAAUCCUUCUUUUGCCUAGGGCGGCAAAAAUUCUUGUACCGGCCCUGAUGGAAGUGCUCAAUUAUGGAGAGUUAAAAACAUCAGCCUGCAAUUCUACACCAGCUUACACUCUCAGCCUAUCAACAAUGCCCAAUCUGAGGUUUCAUCGUUGAUGCCAGGGACGAAGGUUGAAGAAGAGGAACCUGGAACUGGCAUCAUCUGGACCACUUUGGGGUUUUAACUGGUAUGGUAAAAAAUAGCACCCAGAACCUCCAGACAUCAUAACAACUUCAUAUCAAUGAAGUUGUUAUGGUGCCUAUAGUGUUUCUUUAAAUAGAUGGGGCUAACACAAUAAUACUAAAUCCCAGCGGGUGACCGUUUCUUAUAAAUAUGUGUUUAAACUGCAGAAAAUAUGUUUGAAAAUAGUUUUUUAUGAACCAGAUAUUAUGUUCUUGUUCUAAGGUAUUUUUUUCAGUCACAAAAAUAAAUGUUAUGCGGUCAUGAAUUUGCCUAAAAAUAGAAUGAAUCCGGGACAUACUUUGAAAGAAAGUGCUUUUUGGGGGUAUUUUGUUCAUCAUUUGAAGUGUUGGGAAAUCCGAAACUCUGAUUUAGAGUUUGAAAAGUCAUUGUCAGCUCAUCACCAUAGAUGGACAUAUUACUGCAACAUAUUCAUUAGAGAACAAAUUAUCUCCAUUGCUGUCCUUCCUCUCAUGUCUUCCCACUUUCUCCACUUCCUCUUCAUGCAAACCCAAUGUUCUGCUUUUCCGCUACUAUACAGCUACAAAUCUAACCUCUUACCAUAUGCUAAAUUUAAACAACGGGAUAAGGAAACCGUGAUAAAAUAGCAAAUAGGUCAACUUGAAUGGCCCUAAAUGUCUAUAUCCGAGCAUUAGUUUGACUCUGGAGGCCAGAGACAGAUCAAGUACGUUAAAUGACCUUUUCUUGCAAGCUUAAUUUUAGAGAGCAAAAGUUGAACCCAGCUACAGGGCCUAAGGUAAUCCAUAUUGAAAGGCAACUCUCCAGACACUCCAGACCAAUGAUAACAAACAGGGCCAGUGCAAGGAUUUUUGGCUACACAGGCAAAGAUUAAUUUUGCCCCCUCCCCCAAAAAAUGCAUCUUCACUGGUGUCUUGUGACCCCCCUUUCUUAAGUGUAUUGUAUCUACCCUUUGAUGUGUCUUACAACCCUUGUGUGUCUCUUACAACCGCCCUUGUGCAUUUCUUACUUCCCCAGACCCUUUGUGUGACAUACGGAUACAGUCAUACAGAACAAGGCAUUCAGAGACAUACAGACACAGUCAUACAGAGACAUACAGAACAAGGCAUACAGAGACAUAUGGACAAAGUCAUAUAGAGAAAUACAGGCACAGUCAUACACAGACAUAUAGUCAUGGGCAUCCGCAGGAAUUUUUCCAGGGGGGAGGGGGGCAUAAUUGUAAUGACAUUUAUGCUUGGCCCCUUUUUGACAGUGUUAUGAAGGGGAGGAGCAUAGUCAUUAUCACAUAAAGCCAGGGUGAAUAGCAUUUUCACGACUAUAGUGUCAGGAAUACAUGUCUGUUAAAUUAAAGGAACAUUCUGGUCAUCAUAAUAACUUCAUCUAAAUGAAAAUGCUAUGAUGCAAGGAGGCCCCUGGACGCUCUCUUUCCUUUAAAGGGUGAAACCGUUCUCAAAUUGUUUAACCCCAAAGGUUUCCUCCAGCUCCAGGUCGCUCAGUGGUAUUCGGCUUCUGAAACGGAGUGUCAGGAAGUGCAGAUUGACGUCAGGCAUGGGUGCUACAGAUUGGCUAAAGUGGUCAGCUCUCGCUCUAAGCCAAUCGCUAGUACCCAAUUCAUACAUUUUUUUAUGUUUUUAUGAAUGGGGAGCUACUGAUUGGCUUAGAGUGCCAACUGAACAGUGUAGCCAAUCAGUGAUACCCCUACCUAGCGGCCCUCUGUGUUUCCUGACACUCAGUAAAUAAAAAUAAAACACAUUAAAACUGAUCUGUUUUUACCUGGGGAGAUGAGAAGGUCCAAUGUUUCCUGCCAGGCCCAGGUAUCAAAGUCUUAUGAUGUGGUGUCCAGAAUGAAGUGGAGGGUUCACUUCACUUGUCCUUCCUGCUCCAAUCUAAUUUUCUGCUCCAUUUGACACAGUCUUUUUUUCUUCUGACACUGUCUUCUCUCAUCCUUGGCACCUUCUGCUCCUUUACCUUUCUGCUACGUCCUGCUUAUUUUGCACCCUUCUGCUCCUUUCUCUUUCUGAUCCAUUCCUUCUCCUUGCAGACCCUUCCUGCUCUUUGCUGCUCAAUUCUGUUCCUUUUCCUACUUUACCUUUGUGCUCCUUGCUGCCCCUUCCUACUCCUUGCUGAAACCUCCUGCCCCUUGCAGCCACUUCCAGCUCCUUGCUGACCCUUUCUGUUGCAUGUAGACCCUUCCUACUCCUUGCUGACCCCUCCUGCUUCUUGCUGACCCUUCCUGCUCCUUGCUGACCCCUCCUGCCCUUUGCAGACCCUUCCUACUCCUUUCUGCCCCUUCCUGCCCCUUGCUGACCGUUCCUACACCCGGUUGACCCCUCCUGCCCCUUGCAAACACUUCCUACUCCUUGCUGACCCCUCCUGCCCCUUGAAGACCCUUCCUACUCCUGGUUGACCUUUCCUGCUCCUUGCUGCCCCUUCCUACUCCUUGCUGAAACCUCCUGCCCCUUCCUACUCCUUGAUGACCCCUCCUGCCCCUUGCAGACCCUUCCUACUCCUUUCUGACCCCUCCUGCUCCUUGCUUCCCCUUCCUACUCCUUGCUGAAACCUCCUGCCCCUUCCUACUCCUUGCUGGCCCCUCCUGCUCCUUGCUGACCCCUCCUACCCCUUGCUGGCCCCUCCUGCUCCUUGCUAACCCCUCCUGCUCAUUGCUGCCCCUUUCUACUCCUUGCUGAAACCUCCUGCCCCUUCCUACUCCUUGCUGAAACCUCCUGCCCCUUGCAGACCCUUCCUACUCCUUUCUGACCCCUCCUGCCCCUUGCAGAACCUUUCUGCUCCUUCUACAUUACCUUCCUGUAGGCUGCCGCCCCCCUCCAUGCCUCACUUACCUGAUCUGUAGGUUACCCCCUCAAUGUCUCACUUACCUGAUCUGUAGGCUGUCUCUGCAGUUGUUGGCUGCUGCUCCCCUGCGGAUGCAGUCAGGAGAAAGAGGCAGGGAUAAGCUGCAGCUUUCUAUCCCUGCCUUUCUCUAUUCACAGCGCCACCUACUGUCCGGCGCCGUUACUGCAGUUUAUCACACAAACGAAAAAUAGCAGCACAAGCUGAAAACUCCAGGGGGGCGGGGAGGGGGGGCAAGUGCCCCCCUUGCCUCCCCCUGCGGACGCCCAUGCAUAUAGUCAUAAAAAGACAUAAAGACACAGGUAUACAGAGCAGGGGCGGAUCCAGAAACUAAUCUCGGGAGGCGAACUGGUAGUGGGUGGUAGUGGGCAGUGCUGUAUUUAGAGCGAGACUGACAAGGCAUUUGCCUUGGGUGGCACUUUCAGGGGGGUGGCAAAAAAAGGAGUUGGCUGGCUGUCCAUCUUAGAGCCCCUCCAAGUCUGUAAUCUACUCAUGUAGGUGGCGGACUGUAAAGGAGCGCUCUCCGGCCACGGCAUCACUAGGGAGCAGAGCAGAAAGACCAGAACUCCCUCGCCACCUGCAUUGACUGCACGCCUAGAAGCUAAGCCCAGCAGCCCCACUGGACCCCAGGGAAAUAGAGACUCCAUGCCAGCACUCCCAAAGGUAGGGAGGCUGGGUGGAGUGAGAUUUUAAAGAAAAUUAUAAAUUGUGUGUGUGUCUGUUAGUGAGUUUGUGUGUGUUUCUGUCAAAGAUUGUAUGUGUUUGUCAGUAAGAGUGUAUAUGUGUUUGUCAGUGAGUGUAUGUCUGUUUAUCAGUGAGACUGUAUGUAUGUAUGUUUGUCAGUGUGUGUGUAUGUGUGUUUGUCAGUGAGAGUGUAUAUGUGUUUGUCAGUGAUUUUGUAUAUGUUCUUGUCAGUGAGAGUGUAUGCGUGUUUGUCAGUGAGUGAGUAUGUGUGUUUGUCAGUGAGAGUGUAUGUGUGUUUGUCAGUGAGUGUGUGUAUGUGUUUGUCAGUGAGAGUGUAUAUGUUUGUUUGUAAUUGAGUUUGUACGUGUGUCUGUCAGUGAGUUAGUUUGUGUGUCUCUCAGUAAGAGUGUAUAUGUGUUUGUCAGUGAGUGUGUAUGUGUGUUUGUCAGUGAGACUGUAUGUAUGUUUGUCAGUGAGUGUGUAUGUGUGUUUGUCAGUGAGAGUGUAUAUGUGUGUUUCUCAGUGAGUAUGCAUGUGUGUCUGUCAAAUAGUGUAUGUGUGUUUGUCAGUAAGAGUGUAUGUGUGUUUGUCAGUGAGUGUGUAUGUGUGUUUGUCAGUUAGAGUGUAUGUGUAUUUGUCAGUGAGAGUAUAUAUGUGUUUUUGUCAGUGAGAGUGUAUUUGUGUUUGUCAGUGAGUUUGCAUGUGUUUGUCAGUGAGUGUGUAUGUGUUUUUGUCAGUGAAAGUGUAUAUGUGUUUGUUAGUGAUUUUGUAUGUGUGCUUGUCAGUGAGAGUGUAUGUGUGUUUGUCAGUGAGAGUGUAUGUGUGUUUGUCAGUGAGUGAGUAUGUGUGUUUGUCAGUGAGAUUGUAUAUGUGUGUUUAUCAGUGAGUUUGUAUGUGUGUCUGUCAGUGAGUUUUUUAUGUGUGUCUCUCAGUAAGAGUGUAUAUGUGUUUGUCAGUGAGUGUGUAUGCGUGUUUGUCAGUGAGAGUGUAUGUGUAUUUGUCAGUGAGAGUGUAUAUGUGUGGUUGUCAGUGAGUAUGUAUGUGUUUGUCAGGUAGUGGUAUGUGUGUUUGUCAGUAAGAGUAUAUGUGUAUUUGUCAGUGAGAGUAUAAAUGUGUUGGUCAGUGAGAGUGUAUAUGUGUUUGUCAGUGGGUUUGUAUGUGUGUUUGUCAGUGAGUGUGUGUAUGUUUGUCAGUGAGAGUGUAUAUGUUUGUUUGUAAUUGAAAUUGUACGUGUGUCUGUCAGUGAGUUUGUAUGUGUGUCUCUCAGUAAGAGUGUAUGUGUGUUUGUCAGUGAGUGUGUAUGUGUGUUUGUCAGUGAGAGUGUAUGUGUAUUUGUCAGUGAGAGUGUAUGUGUAUUUGUCAGUGAGAGUGUAUAUGUGUGUUUGUCAGUGAGUAUGUAUGUGUUUGUUAGGGAGUGUGUAUGUGUGUUUGUCAGUAAGAGUGUAUGUGUUUGUCAGUGAGUGUGUAUGUGUGUUUGUCAGUGAAAGUGUAUGUGUCAGUGAGAGUGUAUAUGUGUGUUUGUCAGUGAGUAUGUAUGUGUUUGUCAGGUAGUGUGUAUGUGUGUUUGUCAGUAAGAGUGUAUGUGUUUGUCAGUGAGUGUGUAUGUGUAUUUGUCAGUGAGAGUAUAAAUGUGUUUGUCAGUGAGAGUGUAUAUGUGUUUGUCAGUGGGUUUGUAUGUGUUUGUCAGUGAGUGUGUAUGUGUUUUUGUCAGUGAGAGUGUAUAUGUGUUUGUCAGCGAUUUUGUAUGGGUGCUUGUCAGUGAGAGUGUAUGUGUGUUUGUCAGUGAGUGUGUGUAUGUGUUUGUCAGUGAGAGUGUAUAUGUUUGUUUGUAAUUGAGUUUGUACGUGUGUCUGUCAGUGAGUUUGUAUGUGUGUCUCUCAGUAAGAGUGUAUAUGUGUUUGGCAGUGAGUGUGUAUGUGUGUUUUGUCAGUAAGAGUGUAUGUGUGUUUGUCAGUGAGUGUGUAUGUGUAUUUGUCAGUGAGAGUGUAUAUGUGUGUUUGUCAGUGAGUAUGUAUGUGUUAGGGAGUGUGUAUGUGUGUAUGUCAGUAAGAGUGUAUGUGUUUGUCAGUGAGUGUGUAUGUGUGUUUGUCUGUGAGAGUGUAUGUGUAUUUGUCAGUGAGAGUGUAUAUGUGUGUUUGUCAGUGAGUAUGUAUGUGUUUGCUAGGGAGUGUGUAUGUGUGUUUGUCAGUAAGAGUGUAUGUGUUUGUCAGUGAGUGUGUAUGUGUGUUUGUCAGUUAGAGUGUAUUUGUAUUUGUCAGUGAGAGUAUAAAUGUAUUGGUCAGUGAGAGUGUAUAUGUGUUUGUCAGUGGGUUUGUAUAUGUGUUUGUCAGUGAGUGUGUGUAUGUGUUUGUUAGUGAGAGUGUAUAUGUUUGUAAUUGAGUUUGUACGUGUGUCUGUCAGUGAGUUUGUAUGUGUUUGUCAUUAAGAGUGUAUAUGUGUUUGUAAGUAUGUGUGUUUGUCAGUGAGAGUGUAUAUGUGUUUGUCAGUGAGCUUGUAUGUGUGUCUGUCAGUGAGUUUGUAUGUGUGUCUGUCAGUAAGAGUGUAUAUGUGUUUGUCUGUGAGUGUGUAUGUGUGUUUUGUCAGUAAUCGUGUUUGUGUGUUUGUCAGUGAGAGUGUAUAUGUGUUUGUCAGUGAGUGUGUAUGUGUGUUUGUCAGUGUGAGUGUAUGUGUGUUUGUCAGUGAGAGUGUAUAUGUGUGUUUGUCAGUGAGUUUGUUUAUGUGUUUGUCAGUGAGUUUGUAUGUGUGUCUGUCAGUGAGUUUGUAUGUUUGUCUGUCAGUGAGAGUGUAUGUGUUUGUCAGUGAGUGUGUAUAUGUGUGUUUGUCAGUGAGAGUGUAUAUGUGUUUGUCAGUGAGUUUGUAUGUAUAUCUGUCAAAGAGUGUAUGUAUGUGUGUUUGUCAGUAAGAGUGUAUAUGUGUUUGUCAGUGAGUAUGUGUUUGUCAGGGAGUGUGUAUGUGUGUUUUCAGUGAGAGUGUAUAUGUGUUUGUUGGUGGGUUUGGAUGUGUGUCUAUCAAAGAGUGUGUGUGUUUGUCAGUAUAUGUGUAUAUCUGUCAGUGUCAGUCUAUGUGUGUAUGUCAGUGUGUUUGUCUGUCACGGAGAGUGUGUCUGCCAGUGAAUGUGUAUGUCUGUCAGUGUGUGUGUGUGUCACUGAGUGUGUGUGUGUCUGUCAGCUAAUGUAUGUGUGUCUGUCAGUGAAUGUGUGUGUCUAUCAGUGUGUGUGUCUAUGACACUGAGUUGGUGUGUGUCUGACAGGCAAAGAGCAUGAAGUAGGUUUAUGGCUAAGGCUUACCAUGGUUCAUGGAGUGGGGAAAACUUACCCCUGGUAUUUGAGUGGGACAGUCUUGACAGGAUCAAGAGCUGGAUACUGGAGAUUAAGUCUUGUCUGCUGGGAAGUCUGGGAGCAGUGGAAACCACACCCUCCUCCUGACAUCAUCAGAGGAGGCCGGGUGACACUGCCAAGUUCCUGUGUGUUGGUUGCAGGGACAGCGAGGUAGGCUGUAGUUAUUGGAAAUAUCAUAGUUCCCAGCCAGAGGCAGGGGAUUCCGAUUUUUGUGCCCCCUUGCUCUGGCGCCCUAUGGCAGCCAUCGAUGCUGGCUUAUGGAUGCGCUGGCCCUGAUAACAAAUGUGUUUGAGACCGAGUGUCCAAUUCCUUGUAAAAAUCAAGUCUAUGAUCAAACAUUACCCGUUCAUGCUCCCUCCCCGUGUCAGGAUUACUAGCUGAUCCAGCUCGUAGAAUUGUGUCACACAGAUGACUAAUAGGUAACGUAUUAUCGGGCCUUAGAAUGGCCGGACUUAACGUACCAAAGAAUAGUCAGGGGAUACAGAAAGAGACGCGAUAAGAGAAAGCCAGAAGUCAGAGAUACAGAAUACAGGGAAGUCAAAAUCAAAGCUAAAGUAAAAAACCAGAAGAAAUUUGAAUCAGGAACGCGCUCUCGGACAACCACAAGGGAAACCACGACAGGGCACUGAGCAGGAUGAGAACUGGGCUUAAAUACCCUUCCUCUAGAUCUGAUAGGCUGUAACCGGCCUUUGACCCCAAAGGCAGUUAGCAGGUUUCCAUUUGCAUAAUUGCUGCUCAGCAUUAACCCUUCUGUGGAUUUGGUUGCGGCUCGGCACAACUUUUCCUGUGUGGACAGUAAAUGCCAUUAACCACAUUUUCAUAAGCGGAUGAAUACGUGACACCCCGCACUUGCCAAAACAAAUUUAAAAAUCACCUUCUCAGGUGGAAUUUAGCCCACUUAAUACUCUGCCUGCUUCUGCUCCACAAAAGUGCUAAAUGUCAGUCUUACCAAUGAAUGAUUACAUUGCAGCAGGCCCAAUAUUCUCUCAGUUCUUCACUGCUGACAACUAUACUGUGGUGAGAUGGAGGGUUGUCAUUUCUGAAGCUUCAGAGUCCUGCUGGUACCACCAAUGCCCAUUGGAUUGCCAUCAUUGCUCAGGACAUAAUGCGGGUAAUUUCUCAGAAAACUUUUCCUUAAUGAGAUUCUAUAGUGUUAAGAAUACAAAUCUGUAUUCCUAACACUGUAGUGUCCUCUGGUCCCCACCACCCCCCGCCUCACGACCUCCUCCUCAAUCUGGCACAUCAAGGGUUAAAAGAUUUUUUUGUUACUUGUCUGAUUACAGUACUGAUGUCCCUUGUAGCUGAGUUGGCACUCUGCUUCCUCUGACAUCAUCCAAUGGGGGGACCUAAUGUGCAUGCGCAGCCCUACCCAUGCUUUCCUUUGGGGUUUUCACUGACACUGGAUGUCCUCUGGCAGAGUGUGAGGACACCUAGCAUUGUUUAUGGGACUCAGAGUCCACUAGAAUCCAGCCACAAGAUGCAGUUUUAGUCCUGCAAAGGAAUCAUUGCAGUUUCUCAAAAACUGCAGUGUUUUACCUUGCAGGACUAAGUAAGACAGGGAUAUUGCACUUGAAUGGGGACACUGCAGGAACACUGCACUUUAAUGAGAUGAACUGUUCUAGGUGCCUAUAAUCUCCAUUUAAUAAUUCUCCCCCUAUAAAAUCACAGGCUAUUCUGGGGUUAAAGGUUGUGAGACAUUCUUGGUUUCCAUGGUUAUUGCUCCUCGCAGUCCUAAUUCUCAGUGCAUCAGUGAGUCAGAGCGCUUCCUUGCUGCAGAAAGAUAAGCAGGGGCUAAAACACUUUUUUUAAUGUUAAGAAAACACACACACACAGUCGGCCAACUUCACACAUAAUCACAUUCAGCCAACCCCAUACACAAUCACAUUUAGCCAACCAAGAAACACAAUCACAUUUAGACAAACUCACAAUCACUCAAUAAACCUCACACCCAAUCACAUACAGCCAGCAAUCCACAUACAAUCACACCCAACCAACUCCACACAUACAUAUCACACUCAUACAAGAGUAUAUUUUACAUGAUUUGACAUAGAUAAGUCUGCACUUUUAUUUUGGAAUUAUGUCAAAAGUGGGGGAAAAAAAGUUUUCAGUCUCACGAGACUUCCUCAAUAUUUUUUCCUAGGGUUUAUUAUGGAUGAAAUGCAUUUAUACAUUCAUGAGAGCAAUAGGAGGAUAUAUUAGAUUUGUCUUGAUAUAUACUAGAUUUGGCUUAGAUACAUACUAGAUUUGUCUUGAUGUAUACUAGAUUUAUCUUGAUAUAUACUAGAUUUGUCUUGAUAUAUACUAGAUUUAUCUUGAUAUAUACUAGAUUUGUCUUGACGUAUACUAGAUUUGGCUUAGAUAUAUACUAGAUUUGUCUUGAUAUAUACUAAUUUUGUCUUGAUAUAUACUAAUUUUGUCUUGAUAUAUACUAGAUUUGUCUUGAUAUAUACUAGUUUUGUCUUGAUAUAUACUAGUUUUGUCUUGAUAUAUACUAGAUUUGUCUUGAUAUAUACUAGAUUUGUCUUGAUAUAUACUAGUUUUGUCUUGAUAUAUACUAGAUUUGUCUUGAUAUAUACUAGAUUUGUCUUGAUAUAUACUAGUUUUGUCUUGAUAUAUACUAGAUUUGUCUUGAUAUAUACUAGAUUUGUCUUGACGUAUACUAGAUUUGGCUUAGAUAUAUACUAGAUUUGUCUUGAUAUAUACUAGUUUUGUCUUGAUAUAUACUAGAUUUGUCUUGAUAUAUACUAGAUUUGUCUUGAUAUAUACUAGAUUUGUCUUGAUAUAUACUAGAUUUGUCUUGAUAUAUACUAGUUUUGUCUUGAUAUAUACUAGAUUUGUCUUGAUAUAUACUAGAUUUGUCUUGACGUAUACUAGAUUUGGCUUAGAUAUAUACUAGAUUUGUCUUGAUAUAUACUAGUUUUGUCUUGAUAUAUACUAGAUUUGUCUUGAUAUAUACUAGAUUUGGCUUAGAUAUAUACUAAAUUUGUCUUGAUAUAUACUAGAUUUGGCUUAGAUAUAUACUAGAUUUGUCUUGAUAUAUACUAGUUUUGGCUUAGAUAUAUACUAGAUUUGGCUUAAUAUAUACUAGAUUUGGCUUAAAUAUAAACUACUCAGGGUAAAAAAUUCUUUCCACGUAGCUAUGACAAAUAGAAGGGGUAGAUUUCUUGAGGCUAAUAAAACAGUAGAUCAAUAAACCUUGUGCCAUCUUGAUUUGUGGCCAUAUGGUCUGCAUUUAUCCAGAAAUGACACAGCACAUCUCUUCUUUUUCAGACAUAUUUGAGCUUUGGGACCUGUGAUAUACAUCUGUUCCAUUCAUGGUGAAACUGACCAUGCUGUUCUGAGAAGUGUACAUAGACCAUCUGUGCGCACGUGGGACUACAGUCUGUGGGUAGCUAAUGUUCUGCUACUAUUAAAUAGCUUUCAAGGACUUACCCACUUUGUGAACUGAUCUACGAAAUUGAUCUUUUUCCUUACUCAGACAGCUGGUGACAUAUGCUGCUUUAUAAAGGUUGUUUCUGAGUUAGAACUUUUCCAGCAUCACAGCUGAUUAUUUUGUUUCUUCUAAUCAGUAAUCUCCACGAAAGCCCAGUUAAUUGCACAAAUAAAGACUCCAUAUGUCCUUAGUUUUGUGAGUGA
rnacentral:lncRNA from 1 species